UGUCCCCUACUUCCUUUGCCAAUUCGACUUAUGUCUUAAUUGGUCACUCAAGUGGGGCGAACGAAGUGUUCUUUUAAAAUUCAAGCAAACUGUCUUGAAUCCUCUCAGGGGAAAAAUAU
rnacentral:snoRNA from 1 species